ensembl:antisense C030017D09Rik RIKEN cDNA C030017D09 gene
AAACCUGCUCCUCCAAAGUGUCUGGGAAGCGGCGAGGUACCAAGGUGGCUGGAUUUCCAGACUGUUGAGUGUGCAGGCGGCGUGUCUCCAAGGUCAUCCAUCACCUGUGAGUUUCUGCUAAGUGAGAAAAGCUAGCACACCAUUCUCUCACCUUCUCCAUCCUGGAGCUGAAGCAGAGAAAAAUAAAUACCACUCCAUCUCAAGGCAGAGAAAAUACCACACUCCAUCCCAAGGCCCUGUGACACAUGCAAUUAGAUGCCUUUCCCCAGGCUCUUGGAUUUUCACUCGGAGUUGGCUGGAUGGAGCUGAGACUUCAUGGACAGAAUGUCUGGGGCUGGAGAAGUUGAAGCACAUACUCCAUGAUGACUGUGUCUUCAAUAGGAACCAUCUGACUGUGUGCCAGCAACCUGAGGGCUUUCUUCAUGAGGCUAAUUCUCUAGUCUGCCAAUCUCUCUCUCUCUCUCUCUCUCUCUCUCUCUUUCUCUCUCUCUCUCUCUCUCAUAUAAAUAAUCCAGUGUUGGCUUCUUCAUCUGGAGAAACAAUAGCUCUUUCACACUCUAUAUGUUAACAUGAGUAUGAUAUGAGAAUGAUAUUAUGUGAGAAGAAAAGUUGAUUCUGGAUUUGGUGCGGUUCUAGAUCAUUCUUAUGGUUUGAGUGUGAGUAUGGUUUGGUAGUGCGGAACGUUUAGGAGGUGGGGCCUAGAGGAAGUGAAUCUCUGAGAACUCCCAGCUUAUCUCCCUCGGCUCCCUGACUGCUAAGGCCCUGUAACUAGUCACUGGUCACUACCUCAGUUAUGGCUGUGAGCAGCUCCUGUCUCCAUGAUGAACUGUAUCCUCUGAACCAGGAGUCAGAAUAAAUCCUUCCUUGUU